CACACACGCACGCACGCACGCACGCACGCACGCACACACACACACACACACACACACACACACACACACACACACACACACACACACACACACACACGAUCAAAAGCGAAACCUAAAGCAUAUUAAGCUAAAGCAAAGCGAAAGUUUGACAGAGCAGUAUCAUGGCAGAGAGAUGUUAUGAAACUAUCGGAACGGCUCCACAAGGUGUGAAUGAUAUCAUCUCUAGCGGCGGAACCAUGAGAAAGUUUUACACUGUCAAUGGGGACACUGCUGUGACCAAUGAAUUUACAACCAAACUCAAGAAGGAAGGCAAGACUGAAGUGUCAAAGGAGAAACGUGAGUUCACCCUGGCCUUCUGUCGGAUCAGCACCAGGCCUGGCAUCGACAUCCAGGAGACUCAAGACAAAUGUCCAGAACCUGCAGAUGGUAAGCCAGUUAUCCUGGUGCUGCUGCAUCACACCUUUGAUCCUAAAUAUUGUGACUACCGUGGCCCGGGAAUAAAGAACGAUGCCUCCACCAUUCUCUCUGUGGACCUCCUGUACUACGAAGACCGCCUGCUCAAAUGUCCUCACAAUAAAAGAGGACUCAAACAGGUCCUGGAUGUGGUUGGACGACCGUCCUCGAAGGAGAAAAUCAGGAUGUGUAAGUACACAAUACUUCCAAGAUAUAUCUGGUCUUACAGCAAUUACAUUACCGAUGAAAAUAUUCAGUUAUUUCAUCUAAAUGUGAUUCGUAGUAUGAAUAGAUCCAUGAAUAAUACAUAUUGAACUGUGGGUAAUGGUUGAUUCAGAAUGAUAAAAUGUUAGCAAUGCUUUGAAGUUUAGGAAGCAGACGAAACACAAGAUGUUAUACUUAAUUUCAGUAUAAAUGCUGAAUGACGUACAUCCUGUCUUCUACUCCACAGGGAUCCGUCCCUUCUGUUGUUGCUAGUCAUGCAACAACCCUGAAUAACCGUCGUAACAAUGGAAUCACUAAUCUAUAUAAAUAUUUAAAAAAAUUCUGUAUCAUUGUAAUAAUUGUCCACUACAUAUAAGAAAAUAAUGAUAUCCAAUAAGUUAAACAAGCUCAUAUAUAUAUAUAUAUAUUAGAGCUGUCAGUUAAACGCGUUAUUAACGGCGUUAACGCAAACCAAUUUUAACGGCGUUAAAGAAUUAACGCGCGAUUAACGCAAUUGUUUUAUUAAAAAAAAAAAAAAAGUUUUUUUUUUUUUUCUUUGGCUCAAAACAUAGAAGCAGUAGCCUGACUGCUAUGUUCAAAUGACAUUUGUUCAAAGCAGUCGUUUAAUUGCACUAUAGGCUCUUUUUUUGUAUAUGCCAAUGUUGUUAUCAAUAAAAAAUCAUUUGCACAAGGCAAGCCGAUGCACUUCACCAUGUUGAUAAGAUAAUUAAAAUGAGAAGAAUUAUGGGACAAAAAAAUCAAGGGAUAUUUAGCAUAGCAAAAGAAUUUGCGAUUAAUCGCGAUUAAUCGUGAGUUAACUAUGACAUUAAUGCGAUUAAUCACGAUUAAAUAUUUUAAUCGCUUGACAGCUCUAAUAUAUAUAUUCAUAUGUGUGUGUUUGUGUGCAUGUGUUAUUUGUCAUAUAUCAUAACCGGGAUGCAUUUCGUGUUGCUCUGUAUUCCAAUGAUUAAAGCUGUUUAAAUGGAA
ensembl:lncRNA